rnacentral:rRNA from 1 species
AGUUUGAUCCUGGCUCAGAUUGAACGCUGGCGGCAGGCCUAACACAUGCAAGUCGAACGGUAGCACAGAGAGCUUGCUCUCGGGUGACGAGUGGCGGACGGGUGAGUAAUGUCUGGGAAACUGCCUGAUGGAGGGGGAUAACUACUGGAAACGGUAGCUAAUACCGCAUAACGUCGCAAGACCAAAGAGGGGGACCUUCGGGCCUCUUGCCAUCAGAUGUGCCCAGAUGGGAUUAGCUGGUAGGUGGGGUAACGGCUCACCUAGGCGACGAUCCCUAGCUGGUCUGAGAGGAUGCCCAGCCACACUGGAACUGAGACACGGCCCAGACUCCUACGGGAGACAGCAGUAGGGAAUCUUCGGCAAUGGACGAAAGUCUGACCGAGCAACGCCGCGUGAGUGAAGAAGGUUUUCGGAUCGUAAAACUCUGUUGUUAGAGAAGAACAAGGAUGAGAGUAGAACGUUCAUCCCAUGACGGUAUCUAACCAGAAAGCCACGGCUAACUACGUGCCAGCAGCCGCGGUAAUACGUAGGUGGCAAGCGUUGUCCGGAUUUAUUGGGCGUAAAGCGAGCGCAGGCGGUUUUUUAAGCCUGAUGUGAAAGCCUUCGGCUUAACCGAAGUCGUGCAUUGGAAACUGGAAGACUUGAGUGCAGAAGAGGAGAGUGGAACUCCAUGUGUAGCGGUGAAAUGCGUAGAUAUAUGGAAGAACACCAGUGGCGAAAGCGGCUCUCUGGUCUGUAACUGACGCUGAGGUUCGAAAGCAUGGGUAGCAAACAGGAUUAGAUACCCUGGUAGUCCAUGCCGUAAACGAUGAAUGCUAAGUGUUGGAGGGUUUCCGCCCUUCAGUGCUGCAGCUAACGCAUUAAGCAUUCCGCCUGGGGAGUACGAUCGCAAGAUUGAAACUCAAUGGAAUUGACGGGGGCCCGCACAAGCGGUGGAGCAUGUGGUUUAAUUCGAAGCAACGCGAAGAACCUUACCAGGUCUUGACAUCUUCUGCCAAUCUGAGAGAUCAGAUGUUCCCUUCGGGGACAGAAUGACAGGUGGUGCAUGGUUGUCGUCAGCUCGUGUCGUGAGAUGCUGGGUUAAGUCCCGCAACGAGCGCAACCCUUAUUACUAGUUGCCAGCAUUUAGUUGGGCACUCUUGUGAGACUGCCGGUGACAAACCGGAGGAAGGUGGGGAUGACGUCAAAUCAUCAUGCCCCUUAUGACCUGGGCUACACACGUGCUACAAUGGACAGUACAACGAGUCGCAAGACCGCGAGGUCAAGCUAAUCUCUUAAAGCUGUUCUCAGUUCGGAUUGUAGGCUGCAACUCGCCUACAUGAAGUCGGAAUCGCUAGUAAUCGCGGAUCAGCAUGCCGCGGUGAAUACGUUCCCGGGCCUUGUACACACCGCCCGUCACACCAUGAGAGUUUGUAACACCCAAAGCCGGUGAGGUAACCUUUUGGAGCCAGCCGUCUAAGGUGGGACAGAUGAUUGGGGUG